GUCGGAGUGGCGGAAUAGGCAUACGCGCUAGCUUGAGGUGCUAGUGUCCUUCGGGACGUGGGGGUUCAAGUCCCCCCUCCGACA
rnacentral:tRNA from 1 species